rnacentral:rRNA from 1 species
UACGUAGGGGGCAAGCGUUGUCCGGAAUUAUUGGGCGUAAAGCGCACGUAGGCGGUAUCGCAAGUCCCAUGUGAAAGCCCACGGCUUAACCGUGGAAGUGCAUGGGAAACUGCAGUACUUGAGUACUUAAGAGGAUCGCGGAAUUCCCGGUGUAGAGGUGAAAUUCGUAGAUAUCGGGAGGAACACCAGUGGCGAAGGCGGCGAUCUGGGAAGAUACUGACGCUGAGGUGCGAAAGCGUGGGGAGCAAACAGG